GCCGACGUGGCGGAAUUGGCAGACGCGCUGGACUCAAAAUCCAGUACUGGCAACAGUGUGUGGGUUCGAUCCCCUCCGUCGGCA
rnacentral:tRNA from 1 species